rnacentral:sRNA from 1 species
GUAGUUUGCUUUGAGCAGAUAUGAAAUAACAAGCAUUGUAUUUAAACAAACGUCGAUCGUCAAGUUGUUAGGGAGGUGUCCAUGAUAAAAUCAGUGUAAAUUUACCUUUAAAGCAUAUCUCUAUAUUACGUUAUAAUCUGUCCCCUAUCUGGAAUUUACCUGUAGAACCACCGAUUGUUCCUCACCUGGAUUUUACCUGAGCUUAUCACUAGUCCCCGCCUGGCCUGAUAUGAGAGUACCUCUGUAUAUGUCCCGUUAUCUGAUCCCGGAAGUGGCAGCGACGCCAUUGUUAGACAGGAUGUUUUGGAUAAGUCGGUGAUCAUGAGGCUGUGUUUGGUUCUAUCGGUACUGAUUAACAUCCUACCAUACUCAAUACUGACAGAUCAAAAACUUCUUAACGACUAUAUCAGACAUUACGAAGAUCUGCAAUAUGACGUCACAGAGCUUAAUAACCAGCAUCUGAGGGCGAAAAGAUCUGCUGAUAAAUCUAUCCAACUUAAAUUCUCAGCCCUAGGGAGAAAAUUUCACUUGGACCUCUACCCGUCGGACAGCGUGUUCGCGCAUGAUCACAAAUCCCGCCAAUCAGAUGGCAAGGAGAGUCACGUGGACACUUCUUUUAUAUAUGAUGGCAAAAUUCGCGGGGUCCCCGAGGGCAGUGUUCACGGGGCGGUCCUAGGCGGACUGUUCCAGGGGGUGAUGGUCGUCUCCCAGGACGAGAUCUACUUCAUUGAGCCGGCCAGCCGCUACUUCCGGGGUCACGACCCUCCCACGCACGCUCACUCCGUCAUCUACCGAGAGAAGGAUAUGAACCUUGACCCCUACAGACACAAACGGGACACUGUGGGACAUCAUGGGAGCUGUGGAUUGGAUAAAUACAAAGAGUGGAUGACAGCAUCAGCUCAACCCGCCUCAAACGACGGCAUCGACGCCCAUGAUGACGUCACAAUGGACAAUAUUUACAGUCGGGAUUCAAAUACAGAGUUUAACAGACACAAGCGAUCACCUGUCAGUUGUUAUUCUAAACCAGCGCGCACCUGUAACCUUUACUUGAGGGCGGACCCGGUCCUGUUCAACGAGACUAGGAACAGACUGGGGAGUGUAGCGGCUGCCAACAAUGAGAUUAUGGCCCUGUUUUCGACCCACGUGUUCGCCAUUAACCAGAUAUACAAGAACACAAAAUUCGAAACUUUUUUCCCGGCCACAACACUUCAAACGCCAUGUUUUGAAGGAAUCAAUUUUAGAAUUCUGCGAACAACUAUAAUGACGGACGAAUCACUGAAGUGUAACACUAAUCUCCGCACUAGUGCACUCAGCUUCUGUAACCCGAACAUUGACGUCAGUAAUUUCCUGAACCUGAACUCUUUGGAGAAUCACGAUGAGUUCUGUCUGGCCUUCGUGUUCACCUAUCGUGACUUCUCGGGCGGCACCCUUGGACUAGCCUGGGUGGGAUCACCUUCUGGAGCCGCGGGCGGGGUGUGUGAGCGGUAUAAAACGAUAAGAGAACAGGGCCGCACUGUACAGAAGAGUCUAAACACUGGCAUCGUCACGCUCAUCAACUACGCCCGCCGUGUCCCACCGCGGGUCUCACACCUCACCUUCGCUCACGAGGUGGGACACAACUUUGGAUCACCGCACGACAGCGGUUCUAUUUGCGCUCCAGGUGGGGACGCCGGAAAUUACAUCAUGUAUCCAAGUGCUACCAAGGGCAACCUCCGUAACAACGAGCUUUUCUCGGAAUGCAGCAGGGACAACAUCACGCGGGUUUUAAACGCUGUAGUGAAUCAGAUUAAUGGAAAAAUGAACUGUUUUACAGAUUCGGACGCCGCGUUCUGUGGUAACGGUAUACAGGAGGAGGGGGAGGAGUGUGACUGUGGGUACAGAGACGACUGUACAGAUCAAUGCUGUAACUCCAGGGACAACCUGAACCAUAAACGCGGGUGUACAUUGAAGGUCGAUGGGACAGGACACAAAGUACAGUGUAGCCCCACCCAGGGACCAUGUUGCAGCGAAUCGUGUACAUUCAAACCCGCCACCAACAGUUCCAUGUGCCGCCCCGCCACAGAAUGCAGAGCGCAGGAGAUCUGUGAUGGUGUAAAUGCAACAUGCCCAGGCAUCACGAUAAAACCGGAUAUGACGUAUUGCAAUGGUUAUUCCCAAGUCUGUAUCCAAGGGAUGAAAAUGACACAUGCUAUGUUUCAGACGAUAAACAUAUUCCGCACGAGUUUAAAAUUGUUGUAGAUGAAGUGAAAAAUUACUCAAGAUUGAAUGCUAAGACAGAAAUCUCAGUAGCUGCAGAUCAAAAAAUUCUUAACGACUAUAUCAGACAUUACGAAGAUCUGCAUUAUGACGUCACAGAUCUCAAUAACCAGCACCUCAGGGCAAAAAGAUCCGCAGAUAAAUCCAUCCAACUCAAAUUCUCAGCUCUAGGGAGAAAAUUUCACUUGGACCUCUACCCGUCGGACAGCGUGUUCGCGCAUGAUCACAAAUCCCGCCAGUCAGAUGGCAAGGAGAGUCACGUGGACACAUCUUUUAUAUAUGAUGGCAAAAUUCGCGGGGUCCCCGAGGGCAGCGUUCAUGGGGCGGUCCUAGGCGGACUGUUCCAGGGGGUGAUGGUUGUCUCCCAGGACGAGAUCUACUUCAUUGAGCCGGCCAGCCGCUACUUCCGGGGUCACAACCCUCCCACGCACGCUCACUCCGUCAUCUACCGAGAGGAGGACAUGAACCUUGACCCCUACAGACACAAAAGGGACACUGUGGGACAUCAUGGGAGCUGUGGAUUGGAUAAAUACAAAGAGCGGAUGACAGCAUCAGCUCAACCCGCCUCAAACGACGGCAUCGACGCCUAUGAUGACGUCACAAUGGACAAUAUUUACAGUCGGGAUUCAAAUACAGAGUUUAACAGACACAAGAGAGCACCUGUCAGUUGUUAUUCCAAACCAGCGCGCACCUGUAACCUUUACUUGAGGGCGGACCCGGUCCUGUUCAACGAGACUUGGAACAGACUGGGGACUGUAGCGGCCGCCAACAAUGAGAUUAUGGCCCUGUUUUCGACCCACGUGUUUGCCAUUAACCAGAUAUACAAGAACACAAAAUUCAAAACUUUUUUCCCUUUCACAACACUUCAAACGCCAUGUUUUGAAGGAAUUAAUUUUAGAAUUCUGCGAACAACCAUAAUGACGGACGAAUCACUGAAGUGUAACACUUAUCUCCGCACUAGUGCACUCAGCUUCUGUAACCCGAACAUUGACGUCAGUAAUUUCCUGAACCUGAACUCUUUGGAGAAUCACGAUGAGUUCUGUCUGGCCUUCGUGUUCACCUAUCGGGACUUCUCGGGCGGCACCCUUGGACUAGCCUGGGUGGGAUCACCCUCUGGAGCCGCGGGCGGGGUAUGUGAGCGGUAUAAGACGAUAAGAGAACAGGGCCGCACUGUACAGAAGAGUCUUAACACCGGCAUCGUCACACUCAUUAACUACGCCCGCCGUGUCCCACCGCGGGUCUCACACCUCACCUUUGCUCACGAGGUGGGACACAACUUUGGAUCACCGCACGACAGCGGUUCUAUCUGCGCUCCUGGUGGGGACGCCGGAAAUUACAUCAUGUAUCCAAGUGCUACAAAGGGCAACCUCCGUAACAACGAGCUUUUCUCGGAAUGCAGUAGGGACAACAUCACGCGGGUUUUAAACUCUGUAGUGAAUCAGAUAAAUGGAAAAGUGAACUGUUUUACAGCUUCGGACGCUGCGUUCUGUGGUAACGGUAUAAAGGAGAAGGGGGAAGAGUGUGACUGUGGGUACAGAGACGACUGUACAGAUCAAUGCUGUCACCCCAGGGACAACCUAAACCCCACCGACGAUAAACUCAGGUGUACAUUGAAGGUCAAUGAAACAGGACACAAAGUACAGUGUAGCCCCACCCAGGGACCAUGUUGCAGUGAAUCGUGUACAUUCAAACCCGCCACCAACAGUUCCGUGUGCCGCCCCGCCACAGAAUGCAGUGAGGAGGAGAUUUGUAAAUAUCCUUUUGUUUAG